GCAGGCGUAGUUUAAUGGUAGAACUNCAGCUUCCCAAGCUGUNAGUACGGGUUCGAUUCCCGCCGCUUGCUCCA
rnacentral:tRNA from 1 species